rnacentral:rRNA from 1 species
GACGAACGCUGGCGGCGUGCUUAACACAUGCAAGUCGAGCGGUAAGGCCCUUUCGGGGGUACGACGAGCGGCGAACGGGUGAGUAACACGUGGGUGACCUGCCCUUACGCUCUGGGAUAAGCCUGGGAAACUGGGUCGUAAUACCGGAUAUGACUCCAUGACGCAUGUUGUGGGGUGGAAAGCCUUGUGCGGCUGAGGAUGGGCCCGCGGCCUAUCAGCUUGUUGGUGGGGUGAUGGCCUACCAAGGCGACGACGGGUAGCCGGCCUGAGAGGGCGAUCGGCCACACUGGGACUGAGACACGGCCCAGACUCCUACGGGGAGGCAG